rnacentral:rRNA from 1 species
ACUCCCAAACCCAAUGUGAACGUUACCAAACUGUUGCCUCGGCGGGAUCUCUGCCCCGGGUGCGUCGCAGCCCCGGACCAAGGCGCCCGCCGGAGGACCAACCAAAAACUCUUUUGUAUACCCCCUCGCGGGUUUUUAUAUCUGAGCCAUCUCGGCGCCUCUCGUAGGCGUUUCGAAAAUGAAUCAAAACUUUCAACAACGGAUCUCUUGGUUCUGGCAUCGAUGAAGAACGCAGCGAAAUGCGAUAAGUAAUGUGAAUUGCAGAAUUCAGUGAAUCAUCGAAUCUUUGAACGCACAUUGCGCCCGCCAGUAUUCUGGCGGGCAUGCCUGUCCGAGCGUCAUUUCAACCCUCGAACCCCUCCGGGGGGUCGGCGUUGGGGAUCGGCCCUUUACGGGGCCGGCCCCGAAAUACAGUGGCGGUCUCGCCGCAGCCUCUCCUGCGCAGUAGUUUGCACACUCGCAUCGGGAGCGCGGCGCGUCCAUUGCCGUAAAACACCCAACUUUCUGAAAUGUUGACCUCGGAUCAGGUAGGAAUACCCGCUGAACUUAAGCAUAUCAAUAAGCGGAGGAAAAGAAACCAACAGGGAUUGCCCCAGUAACGGCGAGUGAAGCGGCAACAGCUCAAAUUUGAAAUCUGGCCCCUCGGGGUCCGAGUUGUAAUUUGUAGAGGAUGCUUUUGGUGAGGUGCCGCCCGAGUUCCCUGGNACGGGACNNACAGAGGGUGAGAGCCCCGUCUGGCUGGNNCCGANNUCUGUAAAGCUCCUUCGACGAGUCGAGUAGUUUGGGAAUGCUGCUCAAAAUGGGAGGUAUAUGUCUUCUAAAGNUAAA